rnacentral:rRNA from 1 species
CUUUACUGUAGCCUGGUAUUGGGUUCGGGCUUUGACUGCGCAGGAUAGGUGGGAGACUACGAAGCUUUCUUUGUGGAGGGAGCAGAGUCAACGGUGAGAUACCACUCUGGCAAGGCUAGAAUUCUAACCUCUGCCCGUUAGCCGGGAGAGGAACAGUUUCAGGCGGGUAGUUUGACUGGGGCGGUCGCCUCCUAAAAGAUAACGGAGGCGCGCAAAGGUUCCCUCAGGCUGGUCGGAAAUCAGUCGAAGAGUGCAAAAGCAAAAGGGAGCUUGACUGCAAGACCAACAAGUCGAGCAGGGUGGAAACACGGCUUUAGUGAUCCGACGGCACAGCGUGGAAUGGCCGUCGCUCAACGGAUAAAAGUUA